rnacentral:rRNA from 1 species
AGCUCCAAUAGCGUAUACUAAAGUUGUUGCAGUUAAAAAGCUCGUAGUCGGAUUUCUGCGCGGGUGGGGCAGCCAGUGCCGCUCUUUGGCUCAGCGCUAGCAACGCCCGCGCAUCCUGCCGCGAACGUCGCUACCAUUAGUUUGGUGGCGCCUCGGGAUCGGCUCCUUUACUUUGAGAAAAAUAGAGUGUUCAAAGCAAGCUUUUUUGCGAUGAAUAAUACAGCAUGGA